rnacentral:rRNA from 1 species
CAGCAGCCGCGGUAAUACGUAGGGUGCAAGCGUUAUCCGGAAUUAUUGGGCGUAAAGAGCUCGUAGGCGGUUUGUCGCGUCUGCUGUGAAAACUGGAGGCUCAACCUCCAGCCUGCAGUGGGUACGGGCAGACUAGUGUGCGGUAGGGGAGAUUGGAAUUCCUGGUGUAGCGGUGGAAUGCGCAGAUAUCAGGAGGAACACCGAUGGCGAAGGCAGAUCUCUGGGCCGUAACUGACGCUGAGGAGCGAAAGCGUGGGGAGCAAACAGGAUUAGAUACCCCCGUAGUCCCUGUCUCUUAUAC